GACGAACGCUGGCGGCGUGCUUAACACAUGCAAGUCGAACGGAAAGGCCCUGCUUUUGUGGGGUGCUCGAGUGGCGAACGGGUGAGUAACACGAGAGUAACCUGCCCUUGACUUUGGGAUAACUUCAGGAAACUGGGGCUAAUACCGGAUAGGAGCUCCUGCUGCAUGGUGGGGGUUGGAAAGUUUCGGCGGUUGGGGAUGGACUCGCGGCUUAUCAGCUUGUUGGUGGGGUAGUGGCUUACCAAGGCUUUGACGGGUAGCCGGCCUGAGAGGGUGACCGGCCACAUUGGGACUGAGAUACGGCCCAGACUCCUACGGGAGGCAGCAGUGGGGAAUAUUGCACAAUGGGCGGAAGCCUGAUGCAGCAACGCCGCGUGCGGGAUGACGGCCUACGGGUUGUAAACCGCUUUCGCCUGUGACGAAGCGUGAGUGACGGUAAUGGGUAAAGAAGCACCGGCUAACUACGUG
rnacentral:rRNA from 1 species